CAUCUUUACACUGCAGCAACAUCUGUGCCCAAAGACAACAACUGUUUAAGCUACAAUAUGCCAGUUAAAACGAAAAUCUCAAGUUGCCCGGGCAGAACGAAGCUAGUGAACUUCCUCAUGUAUAAUUUAGGAGAGUACCAAAAAAUAAAAAAACAUCUAAGAAGUGGAAAAAGUCCAGAGGAAAUAUUGGCUGAUCUGCAACGCCCCAAAAAACCCCCAUUCAACAAGUAUUUCUAGAGGAUAGACAACCAGUAUUAGGCUUUAUUGAGUAUAAUUGAAAACAAGUUAUGCAUCCAGUAGAAAAAUCAACAAGUGAAAUACACAAAGUAAUCAGAUAAAAAAGAGAAGAAAUAGAACAAAGUCUCUUCAAAGUGAAUCCAGCGGUGCAACCUUUAGCCUGUACAAGCAUAACAGAAUAAAGUUUUUUGACUUAAAAA